GACGAACGCUGGCGGCGUGCUUAACACAUGCAAGUCGUGCGGUAAGGCCCUUUCGGGGGUACACGAGCGGCGAACGGGGGCGUAACACGUGCGCAACCUGCCCUUCACUUUGGGAUAACUGCCGGAAACGGUGGCUAAUACCGGAUAUGACUUCCUCACGCAUGUGGGGUGGUGGAAAGCCUUCGGGUGGUGGGGGAUGGGCUCGCGGUCUAUCAGCUUGUUGGUGGGGUGAUGGCCUACCAAGGCUUCGACGGGUAGCCGGCCUGGGAGGGUGACCGGCCACACUGGGACUGCGACACGGCCCAGACUCCUACGGUAGGCAGCAGUGGGGAAUAUUGGACAAUGGGCGCAAGCCUGAUCCAGCAACGCCGCGUGAGUGAUGACGGCCUUCGGGUUGUAAACCUCUUUCGCCUGCGACGAAGCGAGAGUGACGGUAGCAGGUAAAGAAGCACCGGCCAACUACGUG
rnacentral:rRNA from 1 species